UAUAUAAAAUGUAAUGGCCAUUGACAGGGAAACUGCUGCCAAGAUGUAGUAACAAAAGAUCUCGCGAUAUUACAAAAUUCCGCGAAAGGAUAGAUUAUCUCGCGAGAUGUUAACGCGUUCUCCCCAUAGACUCCGGAGCCAGUAACUUGAACGUUGAACAAUCACGAGGAGAGGAGGAAUGGAGUUGUAUCGAUAAUAUUAUUAAAACUCUACUGUUGGAUGCUGUGAAGAGGUGGAGCCCAAAUUCAACUGAAUCAGAAAUUGAUGCGGCUAUGGCGGAACACUUGAAACAUGCUCCAGGAAGAGCUGGGGGUGUGGUUAUAACAAAUAACUUUCCUGGUGUAAAUGAUGUUGCAAAAAGAUGCUACACAAAGGGAGAUAUUUGUGACAGUGUUAUUGAACUGAACUAAAUUAACGGAAUUUAGCUAAAACUGAAUUUGUUUUGUAAUAAAAACGUUUUUCCUGUUUCCGGGGUGAAUCUGUAUUGUAUAAACCGUAAAAUAAAUAAAUGUGAUUUGGAAUUUUG